AUGCUUGAUUGGUACAAAGCAAGGAAGGAGGAAGUGAGAAUUGCGUUUGAUGAGCUAUGUCCAGGAAAUGCACAAAUGAUUUCUUCGACAAUUCAAAAACAACUUGCCAAAAGUUGUGCAGAUGGAGUCCGAAGAGCAAUAAAACAAGGGAUGGGGGGUAAUCUUUUUUCAGUUCUUAUUGAUGAAUCUCGUGAUAUAUUAGUAAAAGAGCAAAUGGCCUUAGUUGUGAGGUAUAUGAACAAGGGAGAAGUUAUUGAAAGAUUUUUGGGUAUCAAGCAUGUCAAGGAGACAACAACAGAAGCAUUAAAGAAAGCACUAGUUGAGGUUCUUGGUAAGAAUGGGCCACUUAUUGCAAAUUUACGAGGGCAAGGGCAUGAUGGAGCAUCUAAUAUGAGGGGAGAAUUCAAUAGUGUUCAAAAACUUGUCCGAGAUGAAAACCCAUAUGCUUUCUAUAUGCAUUGUUUCGCCCAUCGAUUGCAGCUUGUAGUUGUUGCUGUCUCAAGAUGUUGUUCUUCCAUUGAGGAUUUCUUUGAAUAUGUGGCCUUAAAUUGUGAACGCCGCUGGUUCGUCUUGCAAGAGGAAGGAUAUAUUCCUUGA
rnacentral:rRNA from 1 species